rnacentral:lncRNA from 1 species
AGCUGACUAUCAUACUAAUGAGGAGAUCUAAGACAAUUCUAACAAUACCAGGAACUCGCUGAAAAUUUAUUUGCAUGUUGCAAUUCAUUUGGAAAAACUGUUAAACUAGAAGGUAUGUCUGUGUACCCAGAGAUGCAAUGUAAGCAUGCAAAAGAACACUGCAGCUCUCCUGUGAAGUGAAAUGUCUUAUACUUGCUCUACUUGGGAAGCAUGCUAGUAUUGCUUGCAGUCUUUGAGAAUGGUAGGUUCUGCUACACUCAUAUUUGGACAGCAGCAUUAAAUAGUUGCUGAAAUAGGUUAGUGGAAUUUAUAAAAAUAAAACAAAAAAACCAAAAACAAAAACAAACAAACAAUUCCAAGAAAUGAAUCAAGCAUGAGUGAAUAUAAACUAACAAUCUUCAAGCUUUUUUUUUCACUUUUAGAGGAUGCUCAUAAAGAUGAAACAUCUUUAAGUUGUCAAGAAGAGCUGAUGGAUCUACAGCUCAAGCUCUCACUACAGCUCUGUCACACUCUUCAAUGA